rnacentral:rRNA from 1 species
UACGUUCCCACGGCCUUGUACACACCGCCCGUCACAUCAUGAAAGCCGGUUGUACCGAAGUCGCCCUUAAAGGUGCCGAAGGUAUGGCUGGUGAUUGGGAUG